UUAGCUAUAGAUUGGCUACAAAUUUGCUACUAAUUAGCUACUAAAUGAGUAACAAUUUUUAAGUGUUGCAAGUUUUAUUCUCAAAUGUUACUGAAAUCAUUUAGUAACACGGGCUUUACCUAACAUUUGUCAAAUGUUACAAGAUCUAAAUAGUAACAGUUGUUUUUGAUUUAGUUACAAUUUUGAAGUGUUACUAAAUCUUAUAUAUGUAGUAGUGUUCCCCUUCGGUAACAUCUAGUUUACAUACUCUUACGAGUAUCUAUUAUGUGCUCAACCUGUAUUUAUUCACAGCUUAAUUUAUUUUAGUUAAAAGGGUAAGUACAAUGCAUAAGGUUUAAACUUUCAACUAAUUUUUAUCAAAAUCCAAAAAAUUUCACUUCUAUUUGAUCAAGCCUGUAAUACUCAGAUGCUACUAACUAUAUGAUGCAGACCACAAUAUAAAGGUUUUAAAGGUCUCUGCAACAACAUUGUAUGUUAAAUAUGGUAUUGACAAAGGAUAAGCUAUGGCUUAUGCAAUUAGUUUGUUAGUGAGUUGUUACUUGUGCAGCAAGUUAGUUUGUUAGUGAGCGGUCAUUUUUUCAAAAGGAGCAAUAAUUCCAUUAAAUCUGCAUAUAAUGUCUUAAUGGAAGUCAGCAAUGUGGGGGUGCAGCUUCCCGGUUAAAAUCUGUGGCAUAAAUGUAUUCCGUUAAAAAAGUGGCAGUGUCUGCAUGUAAUGUCUUAGUGUAAAGUGGCGAGAAGGAAGGAAGGGGAGGUUGUUUUGUGGUGCGAGGUAGUUGGUCAAAUAGAGGCACGGUUAAGAGUAGCAUUUGAUAUGGUGGGAGGAUUUUGGCAGUGGGGUUUUAAGGUUUAUGCUGAAUUUUGUGUGUGGCUGUUACUGUUUGCGGAUUAGGUAGUGUACGUAUGCAAGUGCUGGUGGUUCUUUUGUUAUCUGAGAAGCUUUGGUUCGGUACGGUUUAGUCUCUCUGGCUGAUUGCUGCAUAUAUCUGUGUUUCUGGUUGGUUUUGGAGUGGUGAAUUGGCAGCAGAAGGUGAUGAAUUGAUGACAUUAUUUGAACCUGUAAUCUUGCAAUUUCAUGGGGUUGUAGUGGAACAACAGCAUCUGUUUUGUUAGGAAUUGGUAGAUAUACGGCCAGGCGUUACAUUUUUUCUUUACUGAAAGAUGUUGUUUUUUAGUUCGUGGAGUUUGUUAGCUUUUGGUGAUAAUAGUGAGCAUUUUAUUUGUUUCAAUUGGAGCUUGGUUGUACUUUGUAAACUGGUUGUAAUUUCGCUCAGUUCUUGCACAUCUGGUUAAAUGAUUAUAGAUAGCACAGACUAUAAAUAGUUGUGAUAUCAUAAGACAAUGUGCAAAUCAGAUUUCAUUCAAUACAAUUGUUAAAUUUCUUCUUAUGUCAAGUUUGUUUUAAAAUUACCUCA
rnacentral:lncRNA from 1 species